UUAUAUAAGUUAAAGGAUGGAAGAAAAGGAGCAGAAGACAAAAAAGCUCUAAAAUCUGAGGUAUCCAAGAAACCUAGAAUUGCCAAAGAGUAUGGUGAAGAAUUAGUUGGUUCAAGGAUAAAGGUCUGGUGGCCCAUGGACAGUCAGUUUUAUGAAGGCGUUAUUGCUUCUUUUGAUCCUUCAAAGAAGAAACAUA